CCUGCUGUAGAGGUUUUUCAAGAAUGUCUGCUAUGUCAUAUAUGAGUCAGUAGGUGGCAGAAAGGAGAUAGGCUAUGUCUAUGCUCAGGGUUCUGACCUAAGAACUGAAUAAUUAGUAGUCUAAUAUU